rnacentral:rRNA from 1 species
UACGAGGGGGGCAAGCGUUGUUCGGAUUUAUUGGGCGUAAAGGGUGCGUAGGCGGUUUGGCAAGUCUUGUGUGAAAUCUUUGGGCUCAACCCAAAGUCUGCACAAGAAACUGCCGGGCUUGAGUAUGGGAGAGGUGAGUGGAAUUCCGAGUGUAGAGGUGAAAUUCGUAGAUAUUCGGAAGAACACCAGUGGCGAAGGCGGCUCACUGGACUGGUAUUGACGCUGAGGUGCGAAAGCGUGGGGAGCAAACAGG